GAUGAACGCUGGCGGCGUGCCUAAUACAUGCAAGUCGAGCGAACGGACGAGAAGCUUGCUUCUCUGAUGUUAGCGGCGGACGGGUGAGUAACACGUGGAUAACCUACCUAUAAGACUGGGAUAACUUCGGGAAACCGGAGCUAAUACCGGAUGAUGUUUUGAACCGUAUGGUUCAAAAGAGAAAGACGGUCUUGCUGUCACGUAUCGAUGGAUCCGCGCUGCAUUAGCUAGUUGGUAAGGUAACGGCUUACCAAGGCGACGAUGCAUAGCCGACCUGAGAGGCGGAUAGGCCACACGGGAACUGAGACACGGUCCAGACUCCUACGGGAGGCAGCAGUAGGGAAUCGUCCGCAAUGGGCGAAAGCCUGGCGGAGCAACGCCGCGUGAGUGAUGAAGGUCUUCGGAUCGUAAAACUCUGUUAUUAGGGAAGAACAGAUGUGUAAGUAACUGUGCACAUCUUGACGGUACCUAAUCAGAAAGCCACGGCUAACUACGUG
rnacentral:rRNA from 1 species